GACGAACCGUGCGAACGUUGUUCGGAUUCACUGGGCUUAAAGGGCGCGUAGGCGGGCGAUCAAGUCAGGGGUGAAAUCCUCCGGCUCAACCGGAGAACAGCCUUUGAUACUGAUUGUCUCGAGGAAGGUAGGGGCAUGUGGAACUUCCGGUGGAGCGGUGAAAUGCGUAGAUAUCGGAAGGAACGCCGGUGGCGAAAGCGACGUGCUGGACCUUUUCUGACGCUGAGGCGCGAAAGCCAGGGGAGCAAACGGGAUUAGAUACCCCGGUAGUCCUGGCCCUAAACGAUGGGUACUAGAUUGUGGACUUGCAUGGGUUCACAGUCGAAGCAAAAGUGAUAAGUACCCCGCCUGGGGAGUAUGGUCGCAAGGCUAAA
rnacentral:rRNA from 1 species